rnacentral:rRNA from 1 species
AAUGAACGCUGGCGGCAGGCCUAACACAUGCAAGUCGAACGGAUCCUUCGGGAUUAGUGGCGGACGGGUGAGUAACGCGUGAGAACAUACCCUUUGGUACGGAAUAGCCUCGGGAAACUGGGAGUAAUACCGUAUGUGGUCGAGAGACGAAAGAUUUAUCGCCAAAGGAUUGGCCCGCGUUGGAUUAGGUAGUUGGUGGGGUAAUGGCCUACCAAGCCGACGAUCCAUAGCUGGUUUGAGAGGAUGAUCAGCCACACUGGGACUGAGACACGGCCCAGACUCCUACGGGAGGCAGCAGUGGGGAAUCUUAGACAAUGGGGGAAACCCUGAUCUAGCCAUGCCGCGUGAUCGAUGAAGGCCUUAGGGUUGUAAAGAUCUUUCAGGUGGGAAGAUAAUGACUGUACCACCAGAAGAAGCCCCGGCUAACUCCGUGCCAGCAGCCGCCGUAAAAC